UUGCGGUUUAAUUGGAUUCAACGCCGGAAAUCUUACCGGGACCGACAGCAAUAUGAAGGCCAGGCUGAAGACUUUGCCGGAUUAGCUGAGAGGUGGUGCAUGGCCGUCGUCAGUUCGUACUGUGAAGCAUCCUGUUAAGUCAGGCAACGAGCGAGACCCACGCCCACAGUUGCCAGCGUACUCUCUGGAGUGACGGGUACACUGUGGGGACCGCCGCUGCUAAAGCGGAGGAAGGAAUGGGCAACGGUAGGUCAGUAUGCCCCGAAUAUCCCGGGCUACACGCGAGCUACAAUGGUUGGUACAAUGGGUAUCUACCCCGAAAGGGGACGGGAAUCUCCUAAAACCAAUCUUAGUUCGGAUUGAGGGCUGCAACUCGCCCUCAUGAAGCUGGAAUCCGUAGUAAUCGCGUUUCAACAGAACGCGGUGAAUACGUCCCUGCUCCUU
rnacentral:rRNA from 1 species